AAAAAGAGUUGAUUAAUGAUUCCACAUUCCGCCUCACCUUGUGCAAAUAUUUGUCACACUGUUGCCUUCAGAAAAACUCAUUACACUAAUCCAUCAGGCUUCAGCUCCUUCCUAAUUGUUUUUGCAAAUAUCUUGACUCACUGGCGGCUCCGUGCCAUCCAUCACUGCUGACUCCACAAAUGAAAUUCGAGGAUAUGUUGACAAACAGGUACCACGAGCUUGGUUACCCUCAAAAAUCAUUCUGGAAACUUCUGCAAGUGACCACAAAGCUAGUGAUUCAUACCUUGAAAGACACAGUCAUCGAAGUCAGCACUGUUUCAGAAGUAGGGAAACAGUCUCCGUUCCCCUCAAGAGAUCCUUGGUGUUGAUUUUAGGGACCAAGCAAAGCAGAACCCAGCCCUUUCCAACUCUGCGUGGCCCUGUGAGACCUCUGACAGCCCCACCUUACUGCCUCAUAGCAUGUCCGCCUUGCUCAUCUACUGGAGAGACUACCUGCUGCCCGGCUGUUGACCUAGAUGUGACUCUGCCUGCAGAUGGCCGCUCAUCUUCCCAGGCUGCCCACAGCGGCCUGGUUACAGCUCCACCUUCCCCGUAGCUCGGCCCCAGAGGUCCUGCUGCUUCUGUCGCAGCCACACCCUGCUACCCAGCCACGGCAGCCACGUUCUCGCCCUGCUUUUGUGUUUCUGCUGACACCAAGACCUCAUCUCCUAUCUGCCACCUCUAUGAGGCCCAGUCGCCCGAGCUCCUUUCCACGAUCGCGGGGUUGGGGCCGUCGUGGGAGAAGCCGCAGAGGAGAGCACCCACGUCCCUGCCCUAGCGAUGAACUUGGUGCGGCGCGUGCGCGGGGCGGGACUUGCGUGCUGCCGGUUCAGCGGCUGCAUCAGGACCUGCUUGGAGGCCUCGCUGCUCGGCUUUUCACCCAGCUCGCUGCUACUGCAUCCUGGGAAGGCAGCGGAUGACGGACCAAGUGCUUGGACCCCUGCCUCCCACGGAGACCUGAUGGAGUUCCUGGCUCCUGGCUUUGGCCUGACCUAAGCCCAGCCAUUGCAGGCAUUUGGGGAAUGAACCAGCAGAUGGAGGAUCUCUUGCUCUCGCGCUCUCUCUGCCUUUCAAGUAGAUGAAAAUAAAUGACUACGCAUUAAAAAAUCAUGGUGGGCAAAGCUGGCAGCUGGAGGUGCUGUACAUAGCUUUAUGGAUAGGGAAGCAUUUAAGUCAGUGUAUAAAGGUUGAGGAGGCCUCUCUGAGGCCUGUGAGCUGAUGAUGGGGGCGGAGGAGCCUCGGUCCUCUGGAGAAGCAGGUGUUGCAGCCGAGCUGUCCCAGGGUAAGGCCACCCAGAACCUCUUCGCUGUCUGAAAGCCGCUUCCUGGCUUCGCGGCCAGUCCCAGCAAGUUCCCUGCCUGGCAGAGUUGUGCCUGUCCGUGCCUCUCCCUCCUGCCCCAGCAGGAGCGUCUUGGCCGCUGCCUCCCUGCGUGUGUCGCUCGGAUUAGGAGCUGCGUGCACUCUGCUUGCUUUGUACACUUGCCAUUUUGGCCACACACUCAACAGAAUUCGGUCACUUCCUGUAACUUCUUUUCAGCUUGCUGAUUUCUUUGAUUCAUUGCCUGAGCCUGGGGGUGCACGAGGGAGGGCUAUUGUUCACUCCUAAGACGGCUGAUAGGGUGCUCUCUCUCCUGACUCCCAGCGAUGACUCGGAGCCAGUCAUUCGUCUCCUGGGCCCUCAGUCUACUCGUGGGGAAUCUUGGCAUGGACUAGGCUGGCUCCGGGCCCUCCGUAUCUUCCAAGUUUUCUGAUCACACAGAAUUCUUUUUUUUAAAAGAUUUUAUUUAUUUACUUGAGAAGCAGAAUUACAGGGAGAGAGAGAGAGAGAGAGAGAGAGAGAGUGUGUGUGUGUGUGUGAAGGGUCUUUCAUCUGCUGGUUCACUCCCCAAGUGGCAGCAACAGCUGGGGUGGGGCCAAUCCCAAGCCAGGAGCCAGGAGCCUGGAGCUUCCUCCGGGUCUCCCACAUGGGUUCAGGGUCCCAAGCACUUGGGCCAUCUUCUGCUGCUUUCCCAGGCUAUCAGCAGGGAGCUGGAUUGGAAGUGGAGCAGCUGGGACUUGAACUCGUGCCCAUAUGGAAUGCCAGCACUUCGGGGGUAUGCCUGAUGUACUACCCUUCAGCACUGGUCCCACGGAAUUUAUUUUGAAAUCUUUAUUUCUUCAUCAUCAUGCUUCCUAGAGGCUUCAUACAAACUGUCACUCUCCAAAGUGCAUAGAUUGGGCAUUUUAUCAUCACGACAGUCUUCUGAAGUAGAUGUUUUCACUUUUAUCCCCAUUUUACAAGCAAGGAAAUUGAGGGACAGAGCAGGUAGAUAACUUUCUCAAGGAAACACAUGUGCAAAGGGGUGGAAAUUGUUUGGAAUCUAGGCAGUUCAAGGCCUCUCCCUUAAUUGCUCUCAAGACUGCUAUCCUGGGGCUGGCACUGUGGCAUAGUAAGUUAAGCCUCCACCUGCUGGGCCAGCAUUUUAUAUAGGCGCAGGUUUGAGUCCCGGCUGUUCCACUUCCAAUCCAGCUCCCUGCUAAUGACCUGGGAAAGCAGCAGAAGAUGGCCCAAGUACUUAGGCCCCUGCACCCAUGUGGGGUAACCCAGAAGAUGCUCCUGGCUCCUGGCUUUGGAUUGGCCCAGCUCUGGCCAUUGAGGCUAUCUGGGGAGUGAACCAGCAGAUGGAAGAUAUUUCUCUCUGUCUCUCCCUCUGUUUGUAAAUCUGCCCAUGAAAUAAAUAAAUAAAUCUUAAAAAAGAAAUAAAAAAACCCUACCAUCUCUAAUUUGCAAAUCUCACUCUUUUUCCUUAGCUGGACAUGUUGGUUAAUGUGGUGAAUUAGAGGACGAGGCCCAAGCUGUGCUCCCUGACCUGCCAACUGCAGCCAGAACCUCUGCGCUCCUGUUGGGGUCGUCACAGGGCUCCCGCUCAUGGCCCUUCUCCCAGGCCCUGGAAGGCAAGCACCGGAGCUGUGGAUUAUGGUUCUAUGAGCAGUCUCCAGGCUGGUCCUGAGCAGGCUCGCUGUUCAAAGAUGUGGAAGAGGGAAAAACAAGGCAAAGGGAAAAGCCACCUGUGAUAUUGAGUCUAAUGAUUGGAUUCAUGGGCGCCUUUGGGUUGGGGUGAACGCCAGCAGCUGGGAUCCUGGAGACCCCUGCUGUGCCUGCCGUGGUUUGUUACUGGGUGGUGGGCAGGGGUCAUGGGCAAGGCUUAGGGUCAUGUUUGUGGACUGUGGCUGAGAAAGUAUCUUUGUUAAAAAAUUAUUUAUUUGAAAGGCAGGGGGAGAGAGGGAGAGAGGGAGAGAGAGAGAAGAGACAAAGAGAGAGAAUCUUCCAUCUGCUGGUUUAUUCCCCAAAUGGCCGCAAUGGCUGGGGCUGGGCCAGGCUGAAGCUGGGGGUCAGGAACUUCAUCUGGGUCUUUCACGAGGGUGCAGGGUCCAAGGACUUGGGCCACAUUAUUACAGAGCAGGAUCCAAGGACUUGGGCCAGAAGAUCACUGCUUUCUAAUAUUCCCAGGACAUUUGUCGUUCUGUGCAGCUGGGCCAUUUACUACAGAACAGCUUCUUGUUACCCUACAAACUGUGGCCCAGAGCUUCGGCUACAUCACUGGCAUGGAAUCUGCCCCAGCCCCAGUUGAUUCUCUGAUUCUUUUGCACCCACUGCAUUUCACAGAUGCCUUUUUGAUAUUCAUUAUGUGAAUCAUGGUACAGGGUGGAGCGAUCUGAGUUUAAAGUUGCAAUGACUCAUUAUUUAAAUUCCUUUUGGGCCUGAGGUGCAGCUUUGAAUUGUUUUCGGUGCAAAGCUGAGUCACAUCAUGUAUUUUUUAUUCAGCCCUGAGCCUGGAGCUAGGCUGGGUGCUGAGGAUUCGGGGAAGGUAGAAAUAGCCUUUGACCUCCAGAGCUCUCCAAGUGGUCAGUGACGGCUCUUCUGAUGGGAACAGUCAGGAGGAAGCAGCCACGGGAAGAUCUGGGAAAAGGGCAUUUGAGGCAGUGGGGACAGCUGGUGCGAAGGCUCUGAGGCAGAAGUGAGCUUGUAUUUCAGGACGUGAAUGAGGGGAAACAGGGUUAGAGUGAAGGAGGGGAAGGUGUAAGCUGUGGGAGGAGAGAUAGUGCCCUGGGGCCCUCAGAAGCCAUCUGCAUCUCAUUCCCGGUGCAGCAGGAGCCCUCGGGAGCAUUUUCAGAAGGGUAGUGACAUGGUCACGCGUGUGUAAGCUAAUCAGCCAAUUUUUGGAUGCUAUAAUACCCAGUACAAGCUAACUUUCCGAGGAAAGAGGUUUGCUUAGCUAACAGUUUUGGAGCCUGAAAGUUCAAGAUCCCAUGGCCCCUUCUCUCUGGCCUCUGGUGAGGACCUUAGGUUGAUCAGAGUGGCAGGCAUGCCUGUGCGAGGAGAUCCCACAGCGAGGUAGGAAGCAGGGAGGGUGAGCUGUGGCCAGGCUCCCACUGGGAGAACUACCCUAGCCCCUCCCAGGGCCAGGACUCCAGCAACCUAAAGACCUGCCACUGGCCCCACCUCCUAAAGGUUCCAUCAGCUCCCAGAGUACCACACAGGCACCAAGCUUCCAUCCAUGGACCCGUGGGGAACAAACCGCAUCCCAAUCAAAGCUAUUAUCUAUCUAUCUAUCUACUGCUGACCAUCAAUCUCUAUCUACCUGUCUGUUGAUAUAUAAAGAGAUAUUUACUCACAUUUUUGAAGGAAUCCACCACUCGGGCUGACUCUGUGGUGCCGCAGGUUAAGCUGCUGCCUGUAGCACCAUCAUCCCAUCUAGGCACCCGUUCAUGUCCCGGCUGCUCCACUUCCGAUCCAGCUCCCUGCUAACACACCUGGGAAAGCAGCAGAAGACAGCCCAAGUGCUUGGGCCCCUGUACCCAUGUGGGAGACCCAGAUGAAGCUCCUGGCUCCUGGCUUCAGCCUGGCCCAGCCUUGGCUGUUGCAGUCAUCUAGGGGAGUGAAUCAGCUAAUGGAAGAUCAAUUCUCUCUCUUUCUCUCUCUCUGCUUCUCCCUCUCUGUAAUUCUGCCUUUCAAAUAAAAAUAAAUAAAUCUUUUAAAAAAAGGAAAUCAACCAGCAUGCAUGUAUUUUUAUUGAGGAACAGUCAGUGAUGUGCUGGUAAGUCUUUUUUCUUUUUUUCCUAAGACUGUGAGUGAGCCAAGGGGCCACUUAGCCACUCUGCCAGAUGCCCGGCCCCUAAGGGAGGUUUCGGUGAAGGUGAGAAUUGAGUGCUGUGGCAUCUGGACAAUUAUAAGAUUUUUUUUUCUAAGGGGAAUUUUCUCUGAGAUUGCAUUUUUAAAAAUCACCCGAUGGGGGACAUAAUUAGCCAUUUUGGCUCUAGUUGCCUUUAGCUAAGAUUGUAUCAACAGAAGACAAAAAAAGUAAUUGAGGAAUAAUUAUGGUGCUCUAAGGGACUCUGUCAUCUUUGCUGCUUAAUAUUUUCACAUGGAACCCAAAAUAAAAUUCCAUGAAUGGAUCAUUCAUCCCUAGAGAACUGACGGUCAGCUUUAUUAUUUUGGGGUAAUUUGAUCUGAGGGAAUUCUCAGUUCAUUUAAUUUAUUUCCCUUUAUUAGAAAUUAAUCCAUUGGUCAAGAGAGUUAUAAAUGUCAGCUAAAACUGUGUCAUGCAAGUUAUUAUUUGUUAUGUGUGUAUAGUGUAUGUUUGUAAUACAAUUAUGUUAAUGACUUCAUUAGCUUAAUUUAAUUCUAAAACUCUUGCUAUAACCUCUCUUUUCUUUGGAAUAUUACUUGAAUAUGUAUCCAGAAGGGAAUGAGAUAUGAAAGUUAGUCAUUGUGAAUACUGGGUAUCAAGAAGGGACUUCUUGGGGACAGGAAUUUGUGCAGUGGUUGCGAUGCUGGCUGGGACACACACACUUCCCACAUGGAAGUGCCUGAGUCUGAGCCCUGGCUUUGUUCCCAAUUCCAACUCCCUGGGAGGUGAGGGCUCACGAACUGGGAUCCUUGCCAGCCAUGUGUGAGACCUGCAUUGGAUUCUGGGCUUUGGCCUGGCCUAGCUUUGGCUGUUGCAGGUGCUAGGAGAGUGAUUCAACAGAUGGAAUCUCUCUUGGACUUUCAAGUGAAAUAAAAAUAAGUAAAAAAAUGAAAACGAAUGAUUAUUUAUUGAGUGCUUAUCCCAUAAAUGUAAUUUUGAAUAAUUUAUUUAUUAUUAUCACUUUAAUGGCUUUUUUUCAUAUACUUGAAAGACAAGGGAGGAAAAAGAUAUAUAUAUAUAUAUAUAGAGAGAGAGAGAGAGAGAGAGAGAGAGAUUGAUUUUACCUACUAGGUCACUCCCCAAAUGCCUGCAAUAGCCGGGGCUGGGCCAAACCGAAAUCAGGAGUUCAGACUCCAUCUGGGUUCCCAGCUGGGCAUGGAUGGCAGGGAUGAAGCACCUGAGCCAUCACCUGCUGCCUCCCAGGAUGCAUUGCAGAAAGCUGGAUUGGAAGCAGAGGUGCCGGGACCCAAACAGGCACUCCAACGUGGGAUGCGGAUGCCCCAAGCGUUGGCUUAACCUGCAGCAGAUUUGUUCAGAUUUAUAAUAAGCAUUUAAAAGAAGUGCUCUCAUUAUUCCCAUUCACAUAUGAAGAACCUGAGAUGUAUAUGUUUUAGCUAUUAUCAAAGGGACUAAACUUACUAUGUCAGAGUGUGGCAGGUUGGGGCUUCAAGUGGAAGUGAUUUUAUUCCUUCUUAAUUUGUCUCAUUUUGAAUUAUUGGGAAAACCUCCUGAAAAUCUAGGAGGAAACCUGCUAAUUAUUUUUAAUUUAAUUUAAUUUUUUAAAAAACUUUUAUUUAGUAAAUAUAAAUUUCUAAAGAACAACUUUUGGAUUAGAGCGGUCCCCCCACCCCAUAACCUCCCUCCCACCUGCAACCAUCCCAUCUCCAACCCUGUCUCUCAUCUUAUUCUUCAUUAAGAUUCAUUUUUAUUAUUAUCUUUAUAUACAGAAGAUCAACUUAGUAUAUACUAAGUAAAACUUUCAACAGUCCUGCUAAUUAUUUUUAAAGAUUUCACAUAAAUAAAAAAAUUGGUAGUUGUUCAUAUAUCUGUAUCCCGGAUGUGAACAUUUUAGAGAUAAGGCAACACCACGCGAGAUAGCUUGCUGAAGGAAGAGGCUUUAUUGAAUAUAAAGAAUGGACAACAGAUUUUGGUAGGGUAAUCCAGUGUGAAUCACAAUAAUUGUAUGUGACAUUAUUCUGCAUGAACGGGGAGAUCUGCGAUUGAUUGCCCAGAAAGAGAAAGGAACAGAAAGACAGUAAGAUGGACGUUUUUCUUGAGGUGCUCAUUUUUCAGAAAGCUACAUUUUCUUCUCUGUGGAUAUUUGGCACAUUAUCUCUGUCGCGUCUCA